AGCGAACGCUGGCGGCAGGCCUAACACAUGCAAGUCGAGCGCCCCGCAAGGGGAGCGGCAGACGGGAGAGUAACACGUUGGAACAUGCCCUUCAGUACGGAACACCCAAGGGAAACUUUGGCUAAUACCGUAUACGCCCGUAAGGGGAAAGAUUUAUCGCUGAAGGAUUGGCCCGCGUCUGAUUAGCUAGUUGGUGGGGUAAUGGCCCACCAAGGCGACGAUCAGUAGCUGGUCUGAGAGGAUGAUCAGCCUCACUGGGACUGAGACACGGCCCAGACUCCUACGGGAGGCAGCAGUGGGGAAUAUUGGACAAUGGGCGCAAGCCUGAUCCAGCCAUGCCGCGUGAGUGAUGAAGGCCUUAGGGUUGUAAAGCUCUUUCGUCAGGGAAGAUAAUGACGGUACCUGAAGAAGAAGCCCCGGCUAACUUCGUGCCAGCCGCCGCAGUAAAAC
rnacentral:rRNA from 1 species